AACAACAACAACUGCAAUAGUUUCUGCCAGUGCUCAGUCAACUAGCCAUGGUGAACCCUGCCGCCUACCUACAACAGCAACAACUGCUUUCAUCUAGCCCGCUCGCUAUGGCCAAUGCACCUACAUACCUGCAACAACAAUUGUUGCAACAUAUUGUACCAGCUCUGACUCAGCUAGCUAUGGCAAACCCUGCUGUCUACUUGCAACAGCUGCUUCCAUUCAACCAACUGACUGUGUCGAACUCUGCUACGUACCUACAACAUCGACAACACUUACUUAAUCCAUUGGCAGUGGCUAACCCAUUGGUCGUUGCCUUCCAACAGCAGCAACAAUUGCUGCCAUACAACCAGUUCUCUUUGAUGAACCAUGUCUUGUCGAGGCAGCAACCCAUCGUUGGAGGUGCCAUCUUUUAGAUUACAUAUGAGAUGUACUCGAUAAUGGUGCCCUCAUACCGGCAUGUGUUUCCUAGAAGUAAUCAAUAUAUUGAUUGAGAUUUAUCUCGAUAUAUUUCUGAACUAUGUCCAUCAUAUAAAUAAUUGAAAACAUCAAAUCGUAAUUAUAAACUCAUGCUUGGUCAAUACAUAGACAAUGCGAUAUUACUUCAACAUCCCAAUGAUGUCCUAGCCCAACCUCUUGAAUGUUACUGUUUUAACGCGUGAGGGUAUAUUUAUAAGAUAGACGUGACUAUUUGCGCUUUUUUUUAGUACAUACAUAUAUGGUAUGUUGAUUUGAUAUAGUGAUGGACACAUGCUUUGACCAUGAAUAUUUAAAUCAGUUGUACUUGCAUGAAGCAAAACAUAAUAUAAGUUUAGGAGUACACUUAUAACUGUGUCCAAUCAUGCUCACACAAAUUCAUACCACAUUAUAAUUUUUUGGUAAAUAUUCCACACAUGUAUUUUUUACAAGAACCCAAAUAUUGCAGACAAAUGCAGCAUUGUAGACAUGUAGAAUUAUUCGAAGCACGUGAACUUAACAACACCAAGGUCAUUAAGUCAACUGGACCCUAUGAGUAACAAUUUCGAUAUUGCAAACACCAAAUUAUAGAACUUAUUGGCUGAAAAUUUAUGAGCAAUGUGAACUUUAAAUUAUUAUACCAUAAAUAUAUCAAAUAAUUUUUUUUUGAGGAACGUAAAAAUUGCAUGGAAUGGGCUGCCCAACGUGCUAGCUCACUUCUAUGCUAGUUAGCAUUACCAAAGAUGGGAAUGUUGCUGAUGAACGCCAAACCCACUCAAAUAAUAUUUAUAGUUGGGUUGUUUAGUUGUAAAAGUGAAGACCCAAGAUAAAAGUACCAAUUGUCCAAUGACAUUCGAUUAUUUUGUUCGGGGAGCACUUGGUGCGUCAUUUGGACUCGUAUCUUAGUCCAAUAGAUUGCAUUUUCCUUCAAUGUGUAGAAUCCGACAAAGUGCAUGUUCUAAAAUUGUAAAUCUAACUAAAUUAGAAAGCUUGUUACUAAUUUGAUGGUUUAUUAGGUGUAGCUCAUAAAACUAGAACCAACAUAGCCUGCACUCACAUGUCAUAGAAAAUAGGACUAUCCAAGCACAAUUUGUGUGAGCAUCCAUGACACAAAUUAUAUAUAGUCUGAUAUAAUUAAUUCCUUCAAAAUAAAAAAGGAAAAAAUAAAGUGGUUUUUGAUACUGCAGGAUAUCUCCUUUAGCUAAUGAGGAGUACUAAAAAGUUGUUGCACUUUUGGGUGGCGAGAAUUCCUCAAUCAUAACUUUGACAUAAUUUUAAUCCAGAUCACAUAUAUAGCAUCAUAUCUUAAUUAUUAAAUUAUUAUGGUUCCAUCAUCGUAUUAUUAAUUCAAUAUGAUAUAACCAUCAAAUCUUAAUUAUUAAAUUAAUCUGGAGCGUACAUUAGAUUAUCAAACCAAAUCAACCCGACAUAACCAUCGAAUGUUCCGCUAUGCACCUUAAGCACAUGGUCUGGGGCUUAAUCAUCCGGAAUAACCAUCCGAUCUUCUAGUAAGCAUAGUAAGCGUAUGGUUCACGACUUCGUUAUCCGGAAUAACCAUCAGAUUUUCCAGUAUGCACUGAAAGCAAAUGAUCCGGGGUUUUGGUAGGUGAAACAUUGUUAGGUGAAUGCGGAUGCUGGCUGCUGUUGCACGUGUGAACUGCUGUGUGGAAGCUGCUGGGUCCUCCUCUAUUGUGUGUGGUUUGUGGCGGGCUUCGAAUGCUCUCAUGGCUUCGGUGCUUGGAACUGCUCGUACGUCCGGUCCUGCGUGCAUCUCUCUCUCCUGGCUGGAGGCGUGGUGGUGUGGCGGCUUGUCUGUGUUUUUCUUUUUACGGCGGCUUCUCGUGUUGGCUAGUGUUGGCGUCAGGGGCCCGGUCAGCUAUGCUCCCUCAGUUUUAUAGGCAGUGCACCACAGCAGGCAGAGCAGAGAUAAAGAUUCCAACUGCAUCCAUCUACAAACAAGGCUCUCGGCAGAAGGGAUAAAAGCAUGGAGCGCAAUUGUCGCUGCCCUGCUGCAGCCUUGACUCUCGUCAAUUGGAUGACCAAAAGAUGCCACCGUCUAAGCUCUUUUCUAUGUGCAGCUGCCUGUUUGUCACCAACACAAAAUAGUAGGUGCCUGUUUGACACCAAUUAUCCUCUACCACAAAGAACUACAAUAGUGAUGGAGGAUCCGAUCCGGCACAGAUCCACUAUAAUGCAUAUUGGGUGAUGCAUGCCUAAUGGUGGUUGUUUAGUGUUAGUUUGGGCAUGUUGGAACUAAGCAAUUGACGAUGCCAUACACUAGAAGUGAAGAAUGUUGUUAGCGUUAGGAGUUGAGGUGUCAAUGGGGACCAAUACCCGUUAAGCCAUGGAGAAUUUCUCUAUUAGAUUUAGGGUAUGGGAAAAAUUUUAUUUCCAUUUGCUGAUGUUAGGUAUACAUCUAUUUGAAUCAACAGUUACAGUUCAACAGAAACUCCUUCCGCUCUAGUUUGUUUCAUGUCCUAACUUUUUCCUAAACUAGUUUUUCCUAAAUUGACAUACUCUCUACAAAAUCUAUCCAAAUUUUGAAGAUCAAAUCUGUUCCAUUGAAUUAUUCAUGACAUAUAUCUUGGUAUUGCUUUUUGUCAUCAGAAUAUAUUUCGAACUCAGUAAAAGUUAUACACGAUUUUUUAGACAAUACUAAAGCAAGUUGUAAUCAAGAACACUUGAGGUGUGCGCCAAUUGCCACAUUUAGAUAUAAUCAUUCUAAUUUUGGUCAUCCUAUGUGUGUGCAUUCAUCUAUGCAUUCUAGGAUUUCAAUUAGUCUCAAUCUUGUAGUAUUUUUUCCUUCAUUGUCAAAUCACUUCUCAUCUAACUACUAUGCUUGUUUAACCAUUAGAACAUAAGUACAACAAUAUCCAUUUAGAAAGUUUUUGAUAGCAAACUUUACAUAUUCAUAUCAUGUUAAGGUUGUCACAUGUGUAAAGGUGAAGCGAUCAUGCAUGUCAUUCCACAUAGAUUAAAAAAAAUCCUAUAUAAAAAUGACAAUUUUUCUUGUAGGUAGUGGAAAGUAUCUUUCCAGCAAAGACUAUAUAUAUAAUCCGAUAAAGCCGAUAACUAAAUGUCAAAAUCGAGUAGAUGCCAUAUCAUCUAUACCUUAUCUGUUGUUUGGAAAAAAGACAAAAUCCAAAAAAAUAUAUAUGAGAUCUCACUUGUAUAAAUAGCUCCCAAAUCAGUAGUUAAUCCAUCACCUAUAAUAUUUUGAGCAUUCAGAAACACACCUAGGGAAGCGCACUAGCAACGACCUAACAACAAUGGCUACCAAGAUAUUAUCCCUCCUUGCGCUUCUUGCCCUUUUUGUGAGCGCAACAAAUGUGUUCAUUAUUCCACAAUGCUCACUUGCUCCUAGUGCCAUUAUUCCAAAGUUCCUCCCACCAGUUACUUCAAUGGGCUUCGAACACCCAGCUGUGCAAGCCUACAGGCUACAACAAGCGCUUGCGGCGAGCGUCUUACAACAACCAAUUGCCCAAUUACAACAACAAUCCUUGGCACAUCUAACAAUACAAACCAUCGCAACGCAACAGCAACAACAGUUCCUACCAGCACUGAGCCACCUAGCCAUGGUGAACCCUGCCGCCUACUUGCAACAACAACUGCUUGCAUCCAACGCACUUGCUCUGGCAAACGUAGUUGCAAACCAGCAACAACAAUAGCUGCAACUAUUUCUGCCAGCGCUCAGUCAACUAGCCAUGGUGAACCCUGCCGCCUACCUACAACAGCAACAACUGCUUUCAUCUAGCCCGCUUGCUGUGGCCAAUGCACCUACAUACCUACAACAACAAUUGUUGCAACAUAUUGUACCAGCUCUGACUCAGCUAGUUGUGGCAAACCCUGCUGCCUACUUGCAACAGCUGCUUCCAUUCAACCAACUGACUGUGUCGAACUCUGCUGCGUACCUACAACAGCGACAACAGUUACUUAAUCCACUUGCAGUGGCUAACCCAUUGGUCGCUGCCUUCCUACAUGUCACACCCGGUUUUAAAAAGGCAAACCGAAUGCGAACCAUGUACGUGCCAGGAUCAGUUAUUCACGUACACAGCAGUUACAUAAUAUGGACAUCAUCACACAGUGCUCAAAAUAGUAUUAAUAAGGGAAAUAGUAGAUUACAUCAUACGUCUGAGACGUCCAUAUAGUUCUUACAAUAAAUCAAAGUGCGGAAAAGAAACGUAGAUAACGCGGCCUUCACAGGCAGCCGACUGGGGGUUGCCGCUAACCCACACCUAGAACUCGUCGUAAUCUUGGAACUCCUGGAAGUCUCCUUCCACAGCUUCAUCUUCGCCUGAGCAGUGGUUGCAAUGCUGACAACCUGGGGGGGGGGGGGUUUGGUGUGUAGAGCAAGGGUGAGUACACAUCAACAUACUCAGCAAGUAUCCUGUUUGGCUGUAGUGGACUAGCUUUAUGUGGGGAUAAGUCAAGCAGUUGCUUUUAGUUGGUCAGGUUAUUACUUACUAGUAGAAAGCCAAGUUUUAGCAUUAACCCAAGUUAUUAACCCAAUGUAUCCUUUCCAAACGGAAAGAAUACCACUUACCAGCACCAUAACCAUAACCAGAACCAUCAAUCUCAUAACCACCUGUACCACAAUGUCUCUGAUCAAGUACCACUAAUCAUUGGAGCUCCCUUGGCCGCUCAUAACCGCGAGCACGGCUGAUAUAUCAGUUUCAUAACACUCUGCAGAGGUUGUGCACUUUACCCACAAGCCGUGAUUCCCAUUCUGCCCGGAGAUCAUGACUCUCCAUUGAUCACUACCAAGGUGAUCCAGCAGGGCAUCACUACGAAGCCUUUACAAAGAUUCCCCGGGACUGCAGCCACCCGUUAGGUUUCCUAAAUGCACCGCACUCCUCCCCAAGGGGCGAACCCAAACUUGGCAGAGCGAGCCGCAUACACCGAGCCCCAUUGACGGCACGACGGCUAAGUGAACUACACCCCGGAUCCUCUAAUUAUUCAGCUAAGGGCACCCCAUUCCACCCUCAUGGUUGCACUGUUUUCCCGGGCGGUCAUCCAUAGAACAGGUCCUUACGGAGAGGCACUCGAGAAACCGCUCGAGUCCCCUUGAAAACCACAAGUAUAAUCAUAAAGAAGAACGGGAAAACAGCGUAUCAUAGAUAAUCACAUCAUGUUCAUUGAUUAGAGUUGAGCAAUAGCAUCAGACUAAGUAGUAAUAAUCCGACCCAAAUAGGUAAACAAGGACAUGGAUAACAAAAGCUAGUCAAUCCUUAGGUAUAAAUGUGUAAUGCGGGAGGUGAAUUAAAGAAUGAAUAGGACAUAGAUAGGUCAAAGGACACUUGCCUCCACCAAACGACUGCUGCUCAGGGGCUUCUCCUGCGAAUUCCUCGGGCUCUUCGACUGGAUCGUUCUCUAUGCGAGCGCAAACAUACAUACAUACAUCCACAUAUUUAAUACAAAAGAACAGUACACCAUACAAGAUAACAAAUAAAGCGAAUAUGCAUCAAGUAUGACAUUCGAUAACGCAUUUGUUAUGGUCAGAAAGAAACGGGAAAGGUCUCGCAGGGGGGGUUAAAUCUUAUGCACUAACGAUCAAUUACAAUUGGUUUUUAACAAAAUAAUUCUGCUACAUAUACACUAAUGGAAACCUAAUCACUUUUAGUUGAUCAACAUUGCACAGGGUAAACAAUUAACUACGUGCGUCAAUAGCAUAACGGAAUUUUAAAUUAAACUUCCUAUUUUCCCAUAGCAUGAACAGUGAUUAGCCUACUUAAAAUACAGUAAUUAUGAUCACAGAAAGUAAAUAAAAUAAAAUAAAAAAAAAUAAAAAAAAAAACAGAGGGGGGGGCGGUUGAACCGGCCCUAGGGCGGUUGAACCGGCCCUAGGCGGGGCGCGGGCGCGGGCGGCGCAGGGGGCGGCCGAACCGGGGGGCGGGGGGCGGCGCAGGGGGCGGCCGAGCCGGGGGGCGGGGCGGCCGAACCGGCGGGGCAGGGGGGCGGGUAGGGGGCGGCCGAGCCGGGGGGCGGGGCGGCCGAACCGGCGGGCAGGGAGGCGGCCGAACCGGCCAUGGGGAGAGGGGAUGGGGGAGGGAGGAGAGGGGGAGGGGGAAGCUCACCGGCGACGGGGACGGGGCGGCCGAGCGGGGCGGCCGAACGGCGACGGGGAGGGGCGGCGGCCUAGGCAGGGGCGGCGGCUAGGGCAGGGGGCGGGUAGGGGGCGGCGGCUUGGGUGGGGAGGGAGAAAAUGAGGGGGGAGAGGGAGAGGGUUAGGGGAUAAGGGAAAGAGGGGGGGGGCGGCUGGGCCUACUAGGCCCAAGAGGGGGGCGCCAGGGGGCGGCUGGGCCGGCCGGGGUCGGCCCACGGCGCGGGAGAGAGAGAAAAAAAAGGAGAGAGAAAGAGAGAGAGAAAAGAGAAAGAAAAGAGAAAGAAAACAUUUUCGAAAUCCGAUCUUUCUACAUGAAUGCAUUUGCACUUUCAAAGCAAUCAAAAGAAAUGCAAGGUUCGGCAUGGUGCAUCAAACAACAUAAAGUAUUUAGGGUUUUUAUACAUACGGGAAUUCCAAACCGAAUCCCGCUAGAACUUUGGAAAAGGUCAAGGUUUAGCGAGGGAAAAAGAAAAAGAAAAGGUAACGCCCGAAUUUUGGCGAGUAAAGAAAAGAAAAAAAAUUCAACUGCAAAAAUUCGGGGCGUUACAAACCUAUCCCCCUUAAAAGAAUCUCGCCCUCGAGAUUCAGGGCUGGCUAGCAAAGAGCUCCGGGUACUUGGCCUUCAGAUCAUCUUCACGCUCCCAGGUUGCUUCUUCCUCAGAGUGGUGACUCCAUCUGACUUUGCACAUUCUGACGGUCUUCCUUCGGGUGACUCUGUCUGCAAUCUCAAGGAUCUGAGCUGGCUUCUCAACGUAGGUCAAGUCCUCCUGGACUUCCAGACCUUCCACUGGCAACUGCUCUUCCGGCACACGCAAGCACUUCUUCAACUGAGACACAUGAAAGACAUCAUGCACAGCAGACAAAUUCUCUGGCAGACUGAGCUGAUAGGCCACUUCUCCACGUCUUGCAAGAAUCUGAUACGGACCAAUGUAGCGGGGUGCUAGCUUGCCUUUCACUCCGAAUCUUCUGACUCCUCUGAUCGGUGACACUUUCAGAUAGACAAAGUCUCCGACUUCGAAACUCAGCUCUCUUCUUCUUGUGUCUGCAUAGCUUCGCUGCCUUGAUUGCGCUAUCUUCAGAUUCUCUCGGACCAUCUUGACGUUCUCUUCGGCUUCGAGCAAAAUGUCUGGCCCAAACACUUGCUUUUCCCCAGGCUGAUCCCAUUGCAACGGAGUUCUGCAACUCCUUCCAUACAGCGCUUGAAAUGGUGACAUCUUCAAACUGGCCUGGUAACUGUUGUUAUAGGAAAACUCCGCAUAAGGCAAUCGCUUGUCCCAUCCGGACUGAUCUUGCAACGCACAUGCUCUCAACAUAUCUUCAAGAAUUUGAUUGGUUCUUUCGGUCUGGCCAUCUGUCUGCGGGUGGUAAGCUGAACUGAAAUUCAGAUGCGUGCCCAAGGCUUCAUGCAACUGCUGCCAGAAAUGAGAGGUGAACUGCGUUCCUCUGUCUGACACUAUCUUCUUUGGCACACCAUGAAGACAAACGAUCCGAGACAUAUACAAUUCUGCCAAUACUGCACUGUUGUAGUUGGUCUUGACAGGUAUGAAGUGGGCUGACUUGGUCAAGCGGUCCACUACUACCCAAAUGGAAUCGUAGCCGGCUCGAGUGCGAGGCAAUCCGACUAUGAAAUCCAUACCAAUUUCAUCCCAUUUCCACUGAGGGAUCUGCAACGGUUGCAACAAUCCAGCUGGUCUCUGGUGUUCUGCCUUAAUUCUUCGACAACUAUCGCACAUAGCCACAUGCUCUGCGAUUUCCCUUUUCAUUCCGUACCACCAGAAUUUCUUCUUCAGAUCCUGAUACAUCUUCUCACUGCCAGGGUGAAUCGAAUAGGCUGUCUCAUGAGCUUCCUUGAGAAUCAACUCCCGAAUAGACUGGACAUUGGGAACACACAAGCGGUCUUUGAACCAUACCACACCUUCUGCAUCUUCUCGAAAGUCUUUGCCUCUGCCAUCUAGAAUCAAUCGCCGAAUCUCACUGAUCUUCUCAUCAUUUUUCUGCGCUUCUUUGAUUUCGCGCUCCAAGGUAGGUUCCAAUUCAACUGUGACUCCUCGAGAAUUGUUUAGAAAUCCGAGACUCAACCUGUCAAACUCCUUGGCCAACUCAUAAGGCAUCGGACGAGCGACCAUCAGAUUGACUUGACUCUUUCUGCUCAAAGCAUCUGCCACUACGUUUGCUUUGCCUGGAUGGUAAUGAAUCUCCAACUCAUAGUCUUUGAUCAAUUCUAACCAUCUUCGUUGCCUCAUGUUCAAUUCUGAUUGAGUGAAUAUGUACUUCAGACUCUUGUGGUCUGUGUAAACAUCGCAUUUCUGUCCAUACAGAUAGUGCCUCCAUGUCUUCAGUGCGUGAACCACUGCUGCCAACUCUAGAUCAUGGAUGGGGUAGUUCUUCUCAUGAACCUUCAGCUGUCGGGACGAGUAAGCCACAACUCUUCCCUCUUGCAUCAACACACAUCCCAAACCUGUGUAACAAGCAUCACAAUACACCGAGAAGGGCUUGUGCACAUCAGGCAAGACUAGGACAGGCGCUGUUGUCAACUUCUCUUUCAGCGCUUCAAAGGCCUCUUGGCAUUUCUGGGUCCACUUGAACUCAACCUUGUUGCCUAGCAACGCUGUCAUUGGCUUCGCAAUCUUCGAAAACCCUUUAAUGAAUCGCCGAUAAUAUCCGGCCAUUCCAAUGAAGCUCUUGAUUCCUCUAGCAUCUGUUGGUGCUUUCCAGUUCAGAAUGUCUGCCACUUUCUUCGGAUCCACAGUCAAUCCUUCUUUGUUGAUUAUGUGACCCAAGAACAGGACUUCACUGAUCCAGAACUCACACUUGCUCAACUUUGCAUACAACUGGUGCUCUCGCAAUCUCUGCAACACCAUCCUCAAAUGAUCUGCAUGCUCUUCUUCACUUUGAGAAUAAACCAGAAUGUCAUCAAUGAAUACCACCACGAACUUAUCAAGAUAAUCCAUGAAUACACUGUUCAUCAAGUUCAUAAAGAAUGCUGGCGCAUUGGUCAAACCAAAAGACAUCACUGUGAACUCAUAUAAACCAUACUUGGUAAUGAAUGCCGUCUUCGGAAUGUCCGAAGGUCGGAUCCUGAGCUGAUGAUAACCUGACCUCAGAUCGAUCUUGGAGAACACACUGGCUCCUCUCAACUGGUCGAACAGAUCUUCUAUUCUGGGCAAAGGAUACUUGUUCUUGAUCGUGACCUCAUUCAAAGCUCGAUAGUCGAUACACAUCCUCUUGGUACCAUCUUUCUUCUCCACAAACAAGACAGGGGCGGCCCAAGGCGAGGUGCUUGGCCGGAUGUAACCUUUUUCUGACAGCUCAUCAAUCUGCUUCUUAAGCUCAUCCAACUCUGGUCCAGAUAUUCUGUAAGCUCUCUUGAAGAUAGGGGCGGUUCCAGGAAGAAGCUCUAUGGCAAAUUCAACUUUCCGCUCUGGUGGCAUACCCGGUAAAUCCUUUGGAAACACAUCUGGGAAUUCGGACACAACCUUGAUACUCUCAAUCGGGUCUGCUUCACUGCUAUCGACAGUCAUCUGAUAACAACUUCCUUUCUUUGGCUCAGGCGGGACUAACUCAGUCACCACUUCCUCUCCUAGUGGGGACACUAACUUGAUUGUCCUUUUAUCACAACUGAUAACUGCCUGAUACUUAUCUAGCCAAUUCAUCCCUAGGAUGACAUCUAUUCCCUGAGUACCCAUUACUAUAAGGUUGGCGGGAAACGCUAUCCCCCUUAUUUUCACACUUAUAUUCAAACAAAUGCUAUCGGCUCGAAUUCUACCACCGGCUGAAUCAAUUUGAAUGGGGGUUGACAUGGUAGUUAUUGGAAGUUUAUGUGCUUCUACCCAUGAUGCAGUAAUGAAAGAAUGUGUUGCUCCAGUAUCAAAUAACACUUCUGCAAUAUGGGAGUCGACUGGGAACAUACCUACUGUCAUGCCGGGGGUCUCCUGAACUGCUUCAGCUUCCAAGUGGUUCAAUCUUCCAUGAUUAUAGCGCUGCUGAGAGCGAUUGCCUGCUCCAGGCUGAGACACAUUCUGCUUUGCUGGGGCAUUGGGGCCUGACUGCUGCUGGGCUGCCUUCUUUGGACAUUGCAUCACCCAAUGGCCUUGCUCUCCACAGUGGAAACAUGCCCUGUUUCCAACCUGAGCUGGUGCUGCCUGACUGUUCUGCUGAUUUGCUGGGGCAGGAAGACGAGGUGCUUGCUGAUUCUGCCUUUGAAACUGACCUCCUGACUGAUUGCUCUGACGGUUCUGGUACUGAUUCUGAGGGUACUGCCUUUGGAACUGCUGAUACUGCUGACGCUGCUGAUGCUGCUGAGGUGGACGCUGGUUCUGCCUGAACUGCUGAGGUUGAUUGCCUGAAAAGCGAGGGCGACUGCUGCUUCCAGACUGCGGUCCACUGAUCUUGCGCUUACGAUCUUCCAUCUCCUUGCGCUUCCUUUCUGUCAUGAUUGCUCUGUCAAUCAGGUGCUGGAAUGUCGGGAAGGUGUGAUUCAUCAGCUGAUACUGCAGAGGGUCAACCAAGCCUCUCAGGAAACGGUACUGUCGCUUGGCGUCGGUGUUGACAUCUUCAGGAGCAUAGCGAGACAAUUGCAGAAACUUGUCCCGGUACUCACUGACAGACAAUGGCCCUUGCUUAAGGGCCAGGAACUCCUCCUUCUUCACUGUCAUCAGACCUGCAGGCACAUGGUACUGACGAAAGCUACCCCUGAAUUCUUCCCAGGUGAUGGUGUCGGGGUUGGCAUGGGUGGCGAGGUAAGACUCCCACCAUGACUGGGCUGCUCCUCUCAACAGACGGGGACCAUACAGAACUUUCUCCCUGUCAUCGCACUGAGCGGUAUGCAACUCCCGCUCCACAGUGCGCAGCCAAUCUUCAGCAUCCAUGGGGUCAGAAGAGUGAGCGAACGUUGGUGGAUGACCUCUCAUGAAUUCAGCACGCUUAUCUCUAGGCAUCUGAGGCAUCUGAGGCUGGGGUGGUGCUUGCUGCUGUUGCUGCUGCUGCUGCUGCUGAAUGGCGGCCAAAGUCUGACCGAUGGCUUGAACUGCCUGAGUCUGCAUCAGAAACAUCUGCUCAAUCGACAUCGGGGGCGGGGGCGGCAGGUGCUGCUGCUGGGGCACCUCAUCCUGCGGAGCGGCUCGCUCCUGCUGAGCACGCCUUCCUCCUCUACGCCUGUUCUCUGACAUCUGCAGAACGCAACCACACAUCAGAACUGAUCUGGCAAAUCUUGCAGCAUAAGGAAAGAGAAUAGAAUUCUUCAACAGCACUGGGCAGGUGAGCAUCUUCACUGAUCUCCAACACAGACCACACAUCUUCUCAGAUAAAGAGGAAAGGAGAAUAAUGGGUUUCCCAACUAUAUAACUAACUUUAUUGACAUAGUAUGUAAACCAAAAUGCAGGGGAUACCCACACUCUGGUGACAAUCAUUACAAAGAUCCAAACCAAACAUAGUUCAUCAUGACAAGCAUAAAUGCACAGGAUAUAGCAAACUACCCUGUCUAACUAAAACUAACUAAGACCGAGACUAACGCUAAGACUGAAGCUUCUAUGUAUAUAUUUAUUUCGUAUUAAUUACAAGAUCCAGCUCUAACGAUCUAUGGUUCUAGAGUUAUCUUGGUCUUGCAGGCGGGAUUGCCAUAAGACUGGUGUCCACGCUGAGGUGAGCGGUACGGGUGCUGAGUCCCAACGGGAGCGGGGGAACCACCAUCCAGAAAACGACGUUCCGCGCGCUCAGCCCGCAGCAGGGCGAUCUCAGCACGAGCCCUACUCAGCUCGUCUAAUGCAUGGUCCAGCUCCGUGUUUAGCACGGCGGCUAGGUUGACUGUGCUGCUCAACCUAGGAUUGCCCUCACCGACAGGUGAGACAAUCACGCCUCCUGUGCUGCCAGAUGAACGGCGGGGGUAAUACUUCAGGUCAAGACCGUCAGCUGCCCCACCGAAAACCGAGCAGUAGUGCGAAAGCGCACGCCGUGCAGCAUCUUGCAUGGCUGCCUCAGCUGAGUCCCGCUCAGAGAUAGAAUAGUACUCUGAACAGGCCUCUGCACCCUGGAGACUGUCCUCCGGGCAGCGCACCAAGCAAGUCGCCUCCCAGCGGUCCGGGUAGACCCCGCGACUAUGCUGGUAGACCACACAGCGAUACUCGACGGACCAAGUAUGCCGGUCAAAUGCCCGACGUAGCAGGGUGUCGAGCGCAUCAUGGAAGUGACACCCGCGAGCAGCGUCGCGAGUGAUGGGUCGAGCAACCCAUCCUUCCGGCUCAGGAUUAGCAGAGAAGUCGGUGUCGUGGCUCGAGCUGUCGUCGCCAUCUCCGUCGUCUGGGUCUCCUCCAGCAGCUACUCCAGAAGCUGGGGCGCCCAGUGGUGGUGCAGGGGGCGGCUCCAGAGAAAGCACAGGGGAGCAGCUCCUCACAGACUCUAUCUCCUGGUGGAGCGAGAGGGAAGAGCUCCGCUGCUCCUGUCGUCGACGCUCCUGCUCCUCACGCAGGCGGUGGUGUAGUCUCUCCAAGUGGCUGGACUGUCCGGCCACGGGACGGCGAAGCGGACGCUCAGCAAGGCGGGAGGGUAAGAAGGGGAUGACUGACUUUCGUGCAGUGUGUCUAAGUCGAGCCAUCUACAAAAGACAUCGCAAGCAAAAGGGUGAGAACAGAAUUAAUAUGACCAGCAAGUAAUAAGUAAAUGAAGGAUCAGAAUAAAACAUAAUUUUCAGCAAGGUAUAAUAUGUAGUAGAACAUAGGUUUGGUCAGUAGGACCAACUUUUGAAGGGAUAUCAAAGUCAAGGAAGAGACAGAGGUCUAUAGUCCUUAGAACGACCAUUCUACUCUAGGUUAGCGGUCCUACAGUCAGCACGGCUCUGAUACCACUUAUGUCACACCCGGUUUUAAAAAGGCAAACCGAAUGCGAACCAUGUACGUGCCAGGAUCAGUUAUUCACGUACACAGCAGUUACAUAAUAUGGACAUCAUCACACAGUGCUCAAAAUAGUAUUAAUAAGGGAAAUAGUAGAUUACAUCAUACGUCUGAGACGUCCAUAUAGUUCUUACAAUAAAUCAAAGUGCGGAAAAGAAACGUAGAUAACGCGGCCUUCACAGGCAGCCGACUGGGGGUUGCCGCUAACCCACACCUAGAACUCGUCGUAAUCUUGGAACUCCUGGAAGUCUCCUUCCACAGCUUCAUCUUCGCCUGAGCAGUGGUUGCAAUGCUGACAACCUGGGGGGGGGGUUUGGUGUGUAGAGCAAGGGUGAGUACACAUCAACAUACUCAGCAAGUAUCCUGUUUGGCUGUAGUGGACUAGCUUUAUGUGGGGAUAAGUCAAGCAGUUGCUUUUAGUUGGUCAGGUUAUUACUUACUAGUAGAAAGCCAAGUUUUAGCAUUAACCCAAGUUAUUAACCCAAUGUAUCCUUUCCAAACGGAAAGAAUACCACUUACCAGCACCAUAACCAUAACCAGAACCAUCAAUCUCAUAACCACCUGUACCACAAUGUCUCUGAUCAAGUACCACUAAUCAUUGGAGCUCCCUUGGCCGCUCAUAACCGCGAGCACGGCUGAUAUAUCAGUUUCAUAACACUCUGCAGAGGUUGUGCACUUUACCCACAAGCCGUGAUUCCCAUUCUGCCCGGAGAUCAUGACUCUCCAUUGAUCACUACCAAGGUGAUCCAGCAGGGCAUCACUACGAAGCCUUUACAAAGAUUCCCCGGGACUGCAGCCACCCGUUAGGUUUCCUAAAUGCACCGCACUCCUCCCCAAGGGGCGAACCCAAACUUGGCAGAGCGAGCCGCAUACACCGAGCCCCAUUGACGGCACGACGGCUAAGUGAACUACACCCCGGAUCCUCUAAUUAUUCAGCUAAGGGCACCCCAUUCCACCCUCAUGGUUGCACUGUUUUCCCGGGCGGUCAUCCAUAGAACAGGUCCUUACGGAGAGGCACUCGAGAAACCGCUCGAGUCCCCUUGAAAACCACAAGUAUAAUCAUAAAGAAGAACGGGAAAACAGCGUAUCAUAGAUAAUCACAUCAUGUUCAUUGAUUAGAGUUGAGCAAUAGCAUCAGACUAAGUAGUAAUAAUCCGACCCAAAUAGGUAAACAAGGACAUGGAUAACAAAAGCUAGUCAAUCCUUAGGUAUAAAUGUGUAAUGCGGGAGGUGAAUUAAAGAAUGAAUAGGACAUAGAUAGGUCAAAGGACACUUGCCUCCACCAAACGACUGCUGCUCAGGGGCUUCUCCUGCGAAUUCCUCGGGCUCUUCGACUGGAUCGUUCUCUAUGCGAGCGCAAACAUACAUACAUACAUCCACAUAUUUAAUACAAAAGAACAGUACACCAUACAAGAUAACAAAUAAAGCGAAUAUGCAUCAAGUAUGACAUUCGAUAACGCAUUUGUUAUGGUCAGAAAGAAACGGGAAAGGUCUCGCAGGGGGGGUUAAAUCUUAUGCACUAACGAUCAAUUACAAUUGGUUUUUAACAAAAUAAUUCUGCUACAUAUACACUAAUGGAAACCUAAUCACUUUUAGUUGAUCAACAUUGCACAGGGUAAACAAUUAACUACGUGCGUCAAUAGCAUAACAGAAUUUUAAAUUAAACUUCCUAUUUUCCCAUAGCAUGAACAGUGAUUAGCCUACUUAAAAUACAGUAAUUAUGAUCACAGAAAGUAAAUAAAAUAAAAUAAAAAAAAAUAAAAAAAAAACAGAGGGGGGGGCGGUUGAACCGGCCCUAGGGCGGUUGAACCGGCCCUAGGCGGGGCGCGGGCGCGGGCGGCGCAGGGGGCGGCCGAACCGGGGGCGGGGGCGGCGCAGGGGGCGGCCGAGCCGGGGGGCGGGGCGGCCGAACCGGCGGGGCAGGGGGGCGGGUAGGGGGCGGCCGAGCCGGGGGGCGGGGCGGCCGAACCGGCGGGCAGGGAGGCGGCCGAACCGGCCAUGGGGAGAGGGGAUGGGGGAGGGAGGAGAGGGGGAGGGGGAAGCUCACCGGCGACGGGGACGGGGCGGCCGAGCGGGGCGGCCGAACGGCGACGGGGAGGGGCGGCGGCCUAGGCAGGGGCGGCGGCUAGGGCAGGGGGCGGGUAGGGGGCGGCGGCUUGGGUGGGGAGGGAGAAAAUGAGGGGGGAGAGGGAGAGGGUUAGGGGAUAAGGGAAAGAGGGGGGGGGCGGCUGGGCCUACUAGGCCCAAGAGGGGGGCGCCAGGGGGCGGCUGGGCCGGCCGGGGUCGGCCCACGGCGCGGGAGAGAGAGAAAAAAAAGGAGAGAGAAAGAGAGAGAGAAAAGAGAAAGAAAAGAGAAAGAAAACAUUUUCGAAAUCCGAUCUUUCUACAUGAAUGCAUUUGCACUUUCAAAGCAAUCAAAAGAAAUGCAAGGUUCGGCAUGGUGCAUCAAACAACAUAAAGUAUUUAGGGUUUUUAUACAUACGGGAAUUCCAAACCGAAUCCCGCUAGAACUUUGGAAAAGGUCAAGGUUUAGCGAGGGAAAAAGAAAAAGAAAAGGUAACGCCCGAAUUUUGGCGAGUAAAGAAAAGAAAAAAAAUUCAACUGCAAAAAUUCGGGGCGUUACACUACAGCAGCAACAAUUGUUGCCAUACAACCAGUUCUCUUUGAUGAACCCUGUCUUGUCGAGGCAGCAACCCAUCGUUGGAGGUGCCAUCUUUUAGAUAACAUAUGAGAUGUACUCGAUAAUGGUGCCCUCAUACCGGCAUGUGUUUCCUAGAAAUAACCAAUAUAUUGAUUGAGAUUUAUCUCGAUAUAUUUCUGAACUAUGUCCAUCAUAUAAAUAAUUGAAAACAUCAAAUCGUAAUUAUAAACUCAUGCUUGGCCAAUACAUAGACAAUGCGAUAUUACUUCAACAUCCCAAUGAUGUCCUAGCCCAACCUCUUGAAUGUUAGUGUUUUAAUGUGUGAGGGUAUAUUUAUAAGAUAGACGUGACUAUUUGCGCUUUUUCAGUACAUACACAUAUGGUAUGUUGAUUUGAUAUAGUGAUGGACACAUGCUUUGACCAUGAAUAUUCAAAUCAGUUGUACUUGCACGAAGCAAAACAUAAUAUAAGUUUAGGAGUACACUUAUAACUGUAUCCAAUCAUGCUCACACAAAUUCAUACCACAUUAUAAUUUUUUGGUAAAUAUUCCACACAUGUACUUUUUACAAGAACCCAAAUUUUGCAAACAAAUGUAGCAUUGUAGACAUGUAGAAUUCUUUGAAGCACGUGAACUUAACAACAUCAAGGUCAUUAAAUCAACUAGACCCUAUGAGUAACAAUUUCGAUAUUGCAAACACCAAAUUAUAGAACUUAUUGGCUGAAAAAUUAUGAGCAAUGUGAACUUUAAAUUAUUAUACCAUAAAUAUAUCAAAGAAUUUUUUUAGGAACGUAAAAAUUGCAUGGAAUGGGCUGCCCAACGUGCUAGCUCACUUCUAUGCUAGGCAGCAUUACCAAAGAUGGGAAUGUUGCUGAUGAACGCCAAACCCACUCAAAUAAUAUUUAUAUUUGGGUUGUUUAGUUGUAAAAGUGAAGACCCAAGAUAAAAGUACCAAUUGUCCAAUGACAUUCGAUUAUUUUGUUCGGGGAGCACUUGGUGCGUCAUUUGUACUCGUAUCUUAGUCCAAUAGAUUGUAUUUUCCUUCAAUGUGUAGAAUCCGACAAAGUGCAUGUUCUAAAAUUGUAAAUCUAACUAAAUUAGAAAGCUUGUUACUAAUUUGAUGGUUUAUUAGGUGUAGCUCAUAAAACUAGAACCAACAUAGCCUGCACUCACAUGUCAUAGAAAAUAGGAGUAUCCAAGCACAAUUUGUGUGAGCAUCCAUGACACAAAUUAUAUAUAGAGUGAUAUAAUUAAUUCCUUCAAAAUAAAAAAAGGAAAAAAUAAAGUGUUUUUUGAUACUGCAGGAUAUCUCUUUUAGCUAAUGAGGAGUACUAAAAAGUUGUUGCACUUUUGGGUGGCGAGAAUUCCUCAAUCAUAACUUUGACAUAAUUUUAAUCCAGAUCACAUAUAUAGCAUCAUAUCUUAAUUAUUAAAUUAAUAUGGUUCCAUCAUCGUAUUAUUAAUUCAAUCUGAUAUAACCAUCAAAUCUUAAUUAUUAAAUUAAUCUGGAGCAUACAUUAGAUUAUCAAACCAAAUCAACCCGACAUAACCAUCGAAUGUUUCGCUAUGCGCCUUAAGCGCAUGGUCUCAGGCUUAAUCAUCCGGAAUAACCAUUCGAUCUUCUGGUAAGCAUAGUAAGCGUAUGGUUCAUGGCUUCGUCAUCCGGAAUAACCAUCAUAUUUUCCGGUAUGCACUGAAAGCAAAUGAUCCGGGGUUUUGGUAGGUGAAACGUUGUUAGGUGAAUGCGGAUCCUGGCUGCUGUUGCACGUGUGAACUGCUGUGUGGAAGCUGCUGGGUCCUCCUCUAUUUUGCGUGGUUUGUGGCAGGCUUGGAAUUCUCUCAUGGCUUCGGUGCUUGGAACUGCUCGUACGUCCGGUCCUGCGUGCAUCUCUCUCUCUCUCCUGGCUGGAGGUGUGGUGGUCUGGCGGCUUGUCUGUGUUUUUCUUUUUACGACGGCUUCUCGUGUUGGCUAGGGUUGGCGUCAGGGGCCCGGUCAGCUAUGCUCCCUCUGCUUUUAUAGGCAGUGCACCACAGCAGGCAGAGCAGAGAUAAAGAUUCCAACUGCAUCCAUCUACAAACAAGGCUCUCGGUGGAAGGGAUAAAAGCAUGCAUCGCAAUUGCCGCUGCCCUGCUUUAGCCUUGAGUCUCGUCAAUUGGAUGACCAAAAGAUGUCACCGUCUAAGCUCUUUUCUUUGUGCAGCUGCCUGUUUGUCACCAACACAAAAUUGUAGGUGCAUGUUUGACACCAAUUAUCCUCUACCACAAAGAACUACAAUAGUGAUGGAGGAUCUGAUCCGGCACUGAUCCACUAUAAUGCAUAGUGGGUGAUGCAUGUCUAAUGGUGGUUGUUUAGUGUUAGUUUGGGCAUGUUGGAACUAAGCAAUUGUCGAUGCCAUACACUAGAUGUGAAGAAUGUUGUUAGCGUUAGGAGUAGAGGUGUCAAUGGGGACCGAUACCCGUUAAGCCAUGGAGAAUUUCUCUAUUAGAUUUAGGGUAUGGGAAAUUUUUUAUUUCCAUUUGCUGAAGUUAGGUAUACAUCUAUUUGAAUCAAUAGUUACAGUUCAACAGAAACUCCUUCCGCUCUAGUUUGUUUCAUGUCCUACCUUUUUCCUAAACUAGUGUUUCCUAAAUUGACAUACUCUCUAGAAAAUCUAUCCAAAUUUUGAAGAUCAAAUAUGUUCCAUUGAAUUAUUCAUGACAUAUAUCUUGGUAUUGCUUUUUGUCAUCAGAAUAUAUUUUGAACUCAGUAAAAGUUAUACACGAUUUUUUUAGACAAUACUAAAGCAAGUUGUAUCAAGAACACUGGAGGUGUGCGCCAAUUGCCACAUUUAGAUAUAAUCAUUCUAAUUUUGGUCAUCCUAUGUGUGUGCAUUCAUCUAUGCAUUCUAGGAUUUCAAUUAGUCUCAAUCUUGUAGUAUUUGUUCCUUCAUUGUCAAAUCACUUCUCAUCUAACUACUAUGCUUGUUUAACCAUCAGAACAUAACUACAACAAUAUCCAUUUAUAAAGGUUUUGAUAGCAAACUUUACAUAUUCAUAUCAUGUUAAGGUUGUCACAUGUGUAAAGGUGAAGAGAUCAUGCAUGUCAUUCCACGUAGAUGAAAAGAAUUCCUAUAUAAAAUGACACCUUUUCUUGUAGGUAGUGGAAAGUAUCUUUCCAGCAAAGACCAUAUAAUCCGAUAAAGUUGAUAACUAAAUGUCAAAAUAGAGUAGAUGCCAUAUCAUAUAUACCUUAUCUGUUGUUUGGAAAAAAAAGACUAAAUCCCAAAAAUAUAUAUGAGAUCUCACUUGUAUAAAUAGCUCCCAAAUUAGUAGUUAACCAUCACCCAUAAUAUUUUGAACAUUCAGAAACACACCUAGCGAAGCGCACUAGCAACGACCUAACAACAAUGGCUACCAAGAUAUUAUCCCUCCUUGCGCUUCUUGCCCUUUUUGUGAGCGCAACAAAUGCGUUCAUUAUUCCACAAUAUUAGUUAUACUCUUAAUGUCACGAUGUAUAUGUUUGAUUAAAUUGUUUAAUAGAUAUAAUCAAAGAUAAAUAACUUGCAUGGCUCCGUAGGAUAUUAUGUGUAUCUUGUUCAUGAUCACUAAUGGUCCUCAUAGGCACCAUUUGAUUUGCUGCUCCCAUUGUCUCAAUUUCCAUUGUAUUGUCAUCGUUGACCCCCGACGCUCGAAAUUCUGCAGGUGGUGUUACAAUAUGUCUCCGUGGACUCGUAGCACAGUUUGGAGAUUUAAGUCUUAGGGUGAGCGCUGUUGGUAGACCACUGUAUGUGUCUGCACGACGGCCACCAUAUUUGACUUUUUAUUUUAUAAACCGAUGUAUUUAUACAAAUAUUAAUGUACCUGAUGCAGCUCUGUGCAUGAUGCAGAAGAAACAUCACCAGUUUCUUCUUCUCCACCGUCAACCAUGGGUCAACAAUGCAGCGACGCCGCCAGUUCCCUUUCUUAUAUGCACCGCUCUGUCUAGUCUCGGGUAGCCAUGUUUACGCUAUUUUUUGUGGUCAUUUACGGUCUAUAAAGUUUGUUCCUGCAUGCAUGGAGAUAUUAUCGGAGACGUGACAACUACCCGAUAGAUUUUAUCUCGGUUUGUUGAAACAAUUUUGUAUUUACUCAACUAAAUGAAACCAGUUACGCAAUUUUCUGUAUAUAUUUAUGCCUGAGUUUCUGCUUACGUGCAUGCCAUGCAAUAUUCUCGGGAACUACCAAUUAUGGUUUGUGAUUUUAUCGCGUAUUCCGUUUAUGCUAAUAUUCAAACACGUUUACAUUUUGUUUGUUAAUGUUUAUGCUUUGGUUCGACCAACCAGAAAACCGCACAGAGAAACUUGGGCGCUGCCCGGAUCGAACAAAUUGGCUGGGGCUUCCCGAUACUAAUGGAAGCCCUAGGCUUCCAUUAGUUCGUCCAUAUAUAUAUAUAUAUAUAUAUAUAUAUAUAUAUAUAUAUAUAUAUAUAUAUAUAUAUAUAUAUAUAUAUAUAUAUAUAUAUAGUUUAUCUAUUUGGAGCCCUGGGCUUCCAAAAAAACAAGGAAGCCCUGAUCCAAAAAGUCUAUUCCGGUUCAGUGCAACCACAACCGGCCAACCCAACCACAAUCCCCCACGCUUGCGCGUACAUUUCAUUUUUUCCAUCAAUUCAGCCGAAACCGCCACCUUAAAUUAGGAUAUAUUAUUUUCCCCCAAAACAAACCCUAACCGGUCGGCCCAAUUCUCACGCGCUCGCCACAGAUCUAGCCCUGCCUACAGCGCUCUCGCUGCUGCACGUCCCGUUCACGUCGUCGUCCGCCCCUGGCCCUUGCCUCACCGACUCGUGGCCGUCGGCAGCUCCACGUGGGACACGGCCACGCCUGACGCCUCCACCUCCACGACUCAGCUGACGGCUCCUCUCCAUGGGACGGUGCAUGACGACGCCAUGGCGGUUCACCGGCUCCAACCUUCCCCCUCCGGCCUACAGUCCUCCACCGUCCGGUCGCCAGUGGUCCUCCAUGGGCCAUGGCUGACGGGUGCACGCACCGGUAUUCAUCCCUUGCUGCUCUAUUCCCAAUGCUCUAGCUCGUGUACUAGUUGUGCAGCCUGUCGCCUAGCCCUGCUCCGGCGUGAAGUCCUGAUGCUUCUAGUUGUUUUUGUCUUAAAUAAAGAUGCUAGUAUGCAUGUGGCUAUGUGAGGUCUAUUGCAUCCGAUUUAGUGCUGCACAUUUAAGUAAUCUUGAUGAUUGAUUCAAGCAAUUUUUUACUUGGCCUUUAUAUUCUAGAUUAUUGUAACCGGUUGAAACUAAGAGAUACAUGAUGAUUUUCUAAAUCAUAAAUAUAUUUAUAUUGCAUAAUCUUCUACCUAAGGCCUUAGUGCCUAUCCUUAACAAAUAUUUUUUUAUACUUGAUUCUACUGUGUAGGUAUGACAGGUCGUUCAACGAGCACCUCAUUAUCCAGAGUCUCACAAUUUAAAUUGUUUGAUUUCUAAAGUCCAAUUAUAUUUCUAGUCAGCAAUCACAUAUUAACUACACAAGCAAAGUGCAGAGAUAUAUUAUGUUCCUUUUUGAAACAAGUUAUUUCUUACAAUACCAUUUUCAUUGUGUUCUUUUCAUUGUAUUUUUCCUUCAUCUAUCAUGUCACGUUGUGGUUGUGGACCUGGCUAGCUUCAAUCAUGCUUUUCCUUUUUCAGUUUCGCCUUUUCCAGUGGUAAUACUUGACAGAGAAAUCCUGAACCAAGCGCAAACCUUCUGCAAGACCUGGUAACUUAUUUUAGGGGCUAGAAAUAGGCGACGACAGUUCAGGCCUUGUUUUUUACACCAAUCCAACCCUGGAUUAGCAAUGAUUUUUAUGCAGCUCUUGUUUGUUACGACUACUCAUGGCACCAUUUAUGCAUACAUCUGAACUAUUUAUGCUGUUGAUAUGUUUCUAGUGUGGCAAUGAUUUUUUUACAUAUAGAUGCUUACCAAAAGUUCAAAAUCUUUCCGGUCGGUAGCAGUAGAAGCAGCACACCCAAUUUGUCAUACACUCUGUAAUUUUUAUUUCCUAAAUAUGUCUUUUUAUGCUAAUUUGAAUACGCUAUUACGCCCAAUUACUAGAUCGCGCGUAUGCUCCAUUUUGUAAACACGUAGACCACCAAAUUGUACAUUUUUUAUGUUCUUUUUAUGCUUUUAUUCUGAGUUGAAUUGGUCCUCACAUGAUCAUGCAUCAAUACCCAAUGGUUCAGACUCAUCUAAUGCUUCUGCUUCCUUACAUGAACAUGCAUUAGCACAUCAGUCAUCUAGCGCUACUUACUAUAACAAGCACACAUUAUCCACCGAUAUGAUUCUUAUUCCUGCUAAUUUUAAUGUGUUAUUAUGCUCAAUUAUCAGAUCUCGUGUACGCUCCGCAUUGUAAACACGUAGACCAAUUCUCCUACAUUGUUUUUGUUCUUCCUUUUAUGCUUUUACGAUGAUUUGAAUUGGUCCUUUUCAGAACAAUGCACCCCCAGUACGUAGUCCACUCUAGAGCAGUAUACGACAGAUACGCCCAGUACCUCCAGUAAGUAUAUGCUCUUUAUUUUUGUGAUCUACUGCCCAAGUAUCCAGAAGGCAAACUAGAUUUUGAUGUCUGCAUAUUAAAAUUGCCGAUAUCAAAUAAAUCGUCCAUGAGUUGUCCUAGAGUUUCUAGUGUGAAGGAUAUGCAUUGAAUCAGUUUUAUAUGUUUUCGGAAUGAUGGACAAGGUACAACAUGAUAGGAGAAUUUUUUUACACCCUAGUUAUCUUGUUUUAAUUCACCCUUUUUGCGCUCCAAUUAUUUUGGUGAAUCUUAGCAUAGAACUUGACCUUAUAUUAUUUUGUAUGUUUGGUUUGCAUGGGAUAUAUUUAUGAACAUUGAUAUCGUUUUUAUGCUUACUGACAGAAUGCAUAUGGCCUGAAAAUGGAGAAUUGAGGUAUAAAAUAUCGGCUCUUCACUGUCAUAUGCAUUCAUUAGCUUUUUGGUGAUUGGCUCAAUUUAAUGGUUGGUGCACUCAUGCAAUUUUGAACUAAAACAACAACUUGUUUGCACUAUCCAUGCAUAUUGAUAUUGCUAUUGUAGCAACUGCUAUAAAUAACUGUGGCACCAUUUAUGCAUACACUCCACUAUAUAUGUGUUUUGAUUUGUUAUGAUCAGAAAUUCCAUUAUUAACGACUGAAUUUUGGUGUGCUGAUGCUAUAACCUGUGACAUCCAGCUAUUUUCUUGAUUUGUUACAUCUUUUUGUCAAUCUUAAUCUUAUUUUAUUUGAUUUAUUGCAUCAUCCAUUUGAAUAUAGACAUAAAAACCAAGAGCUAAAAUGAAUACUAUUUCCAGUUCUAGGCGGCAUUAUAAAUUCUAUUUUUUUCUUAUAAUGAUGUGAAUCUUGAUGGUUUAAUACUAUUGUUUUAGGACAAUUAUUAUGGUUUCAUACUAUUUCCAGUUCUUUAGUCAUGGAUUUUUUUUCAGAAGUUGAUGAACUCUACCUUCGCAGGAUCUAGUUCCUUGAAUCUUACUGUCUUUUGAGUUUGAGCAUAUACUGAUGUGGAGAGGAAGUGAUUGGAAAUCAUCUCUUCCUCCAUUAGAAAAUAGUUAUGAAGUGACAAAGGUGCAAGAAAGUUUUAGUGGCAAAGAAUCUAAUGAAAAGGUUACACAUUCAGGAAAUGUUCUGAUCCAGAUUUAGUUGGUCAGUGUUGCAACAUCUCACAAGAACUGGAACUUGGAUGAAGGUCAAGAAAAAUUUAAAGAUUCCACUGACAGUGAUAUGGUACUGAAUUCUGCAAAGGAUGUUCCUGCAUUGUUCCAUUCUACAGGUAUAUCUAGAACUGAACCCUCAGCAGACAUUGCAUUGGAAUAUUCCCCAUUAAAUCCAGUAUGUGAUAUUAUGGAUCCAUCCCUGAACUGCCGAAGUAUCCCAACAAACAAAUGUGAAAGUAGAGCUCUGGUAGAGAAGUCAGAACAUUGUCCGAAUGAUUAUAAUUUGGAAAUGAAGGGGAAAAGAAACGAUGGUACAAAAUGUACAGUUGUUCUAAAUAGCGGUUCUAAAGUAGAGGGAUUGUUAUGUCUUUUGGAGCAAGCCAUUCACAGUGGCAGGGCACUUGUUCUGAGUGAAGAUGAACUUGCUGAUUCAGAUCUGGUCUAUGAAAAGUCUGUUGCUUUUAGAAAGUCAAUUCUGCGAAGACUGGUUUUUGAGAAUACUCGAAGGAAGUCCAGUGCCAGGAGAAAUGUGCCAGACAAUCAUGCAAGAACUAAAACACAUAUUAUAGCAAAUAAAAUGUUGAGCAGUCCUGUUGAAAAUAAAUUUAUCGUUAAUGGAGGAUCUGCAAUGCAGACAAUUGACCAUGGACAAGAGUGUCUUUCUGGUGUUGUUCAUCAAGGUACCUUAAGAGUAGAUGAACUAGCAAAGUUACUAGCUUGAGAGGUGAUUGCUCUUUUAUCAACCACAUAGACCAGUAUCAACAUCCUUUGAAACAUAUGCAAGAUUUGCAUGAACUCUGAAUUUGGUUAAAACAAGUCUCAGGUCUGUUGCGUCGUGGCGAGUCCUUUUUAACCUUGAAAUAUUGAACUAUAAUCAUGUGCGAUGUACAAACAACCUUCCGAAUACAUAUUCUCUGAUUUGUCUGUUGUCACCAUAAUUGGCCACUGAUAAAUAACCCUUCUGUUUUAUGUGACAAAAAAUGGUCCACACGAUGCGUUUUACGUUCAAAAACUUCUACGCGACAUGCACGGAAACUAACGCUAAACAUGCGUGAUUUAAACGUCGUAAUUCGUUACGAAACAGAUCAACGAUUUAUGCUAAAAUUCACACCCAUUUACGCUAUUUUGGAUCAUAUUUUACGCAAAAAUCCGCCCGAGCCAGAACCCGCGCAUGAUCCGACGCGCGCGAUUUUUACGCCGUAAUUUUUGGGCCACAUUCGUCGUUAUGAAACUAAGUUACGAUUUACGCUAAAAUUUUUACCCAUUUACGUUGUUUUGGUUAACGUUUUACGCAAAAAUCCAUCCAAGCCAGAACCCGCGCAUGAUCGGACGCGCGCAAUUUUUACGCCGUAAUUUUUGGGCCCUAUUCGUCGUUACAAAACAGAUCUAUGAUUUACGCUAAAAUUCAUAACCAUUUACGCUGUUUUGGUUCACGUUUUACGCAAAAAUUCGCCCAAUCCAGAUUCCGCGCACGAUCGGAAGCGCGCGAUUUUUACACCGUAAUAUUUGGGCCCAUUCGUUGUUAUGAAAUAGAUCUACGAUUUACGCUAAAAUUCGUACUCAUUUACGCUGGUUUGGUUCACGUUUUACGCUAAAAUCUGCCUGAGACAGAACCGUGCACGAUCGGAUGCACGCCUACCUGCGCGUAGGUAUACCUGGCUGGGGCUUCUCGGUACUAAUGGAAGCCCUGGGCUUCCAUUAGCUCGUGUAUAUAUAUAUAUAUAUAUAUAUAUAUAUAUAUAUAUAUAUAUAUAUAUAUAUAUAUAUAUAUAUAUAUAUAUAUAUAUAUAUAUAUAUAUAUAUAUAUAUAUAUAUAUAUAUAUCAAACUUCAUUAGAUUUGUAUAUUUAUCACCUAAAUUGCAAAUGUAUAGUGUCGUUCCUUCUAUGUAUGGACUAAAUGGUGAAUUACAUACUUCUUUAACAUAUUUAAUUGAGGUUUUCUUGGCCCUGUUCAAAUGUUUUUAAACAGCCUACAAUACAGCGUUGACCUUUGUUUACCAUUUAAAUGCUGUUCAAACAGGUUAGAUAUAACGGUGGUUGCGACUGAAUGCCGAGGCAUGCAUUUCUACAAGGUGGUUUAUUAACUAGGGUCCACUCCUUCAUAUGUACCCACAUAUAUACAAGGUGGUUUUUUAACGAUAGGAAUAACUACACCUGGGAGUAGGAAAAAUGCACCAUAUAUAUAUGUCAAACUUCAACUAUAUAUUAGAACCAUUUGAGACUUUCUGAUUGGUGUCCUUCGCAAAUAUAACCUCAUGGUAUGGCUUAUAUGACAGAACAUCCAUUAGAUGUGUGUGAAAGAGAGGACGCUACACCUGCUGAGUGAGGAUGCUGAUUGAAUUGCUGCUGCAUAUAUAUUGGUUUCGAUGAAUUGCCAUAAGCGGAUAUGUGGCCCAUGCACUCCUGUUGCACCAUUCAUGUGUCCAUCUGAUAAACCAUAUGCAGAUGAGUUGUCCAGCAUGUCUGAAUGUAUUCCAGAAUUAUUGUGGCCUAUGCUGAAUCUGAUUGCAAUUUUGGUUGCUAGAAAAUUGGAUCUGGAUCCGGAGCUGAAUCCUGGAGUUGGGAUCCUGUUGAUUACUGAAUCUGGAGCUGCACAUUCUGUUGAUUACUGAAUCCUGGAGUUGGGAUCAUGUCUCAUGUGAGCUGAACCAACUGAACCCGGCCCAUCGUAGAUUGUACGUUAUUUGUGGUAGAUUUUGUGGAAUGCCAGAAUUUAAAUGCUGGUAGCCAUUGGACCUGUGUGGAGGAAUUAAGAGUGGGUUACUAUAAAAACAAAAUGUUAUUCUUUUACAAUUUUUUGUUAAUACACAUGGCUCUGUUCCUGAUGCAGCAUUUCCUAUAUAUAGACUUGAUGAAACAUUUCCUGAUGAAGCUUUCUUUUUCUUAACAGGUCAGUGGAGGUGACGUUUAGUACGAAAUGAGGACACAUGUCACUUAUCUGCUGCGAAUACUGCCGUCGGACAAAAAAACUUAUAACUUUUUGUGCAAUCAGCAAUUACUAAUAUGCUGCUCGCGAUGAAUGAUGUGUGUAUGCUACUUUUGGACCUGUGGUAUCUAAGGCUGCCAACCAUAAUGUUUUGGCAAACACAAAUCCGUGUGGCUAAACAAAAAUCUUGAUGCAUGUUGUAUGAUCCAGCUAACAUCAAUGCCGCUUUAUUGUAAAUGUUUAUGUUUUUACUAUAUGACUUACUAUAUGUGUUGAUUAUAUUGCAAAUAUUUUUAUCUCCUCCCAUUCUCGGCGCCUCCUGUUCUAGUUUGUACAUAAUGAAGGGUAGACUCACAGCAUAGCUGGUGCAAGGGAAAAAAUGUUGCAUAAAAUAUGUCAUUUCCAUUUUUUGAGGAAACAUGUCAACAUUGACAUUUGCUGAAGUUAGGUAUACAUCUAUUUGAAUCAACAGUUACAGUUCAACAUAUACUCCUUCCGCUCUAGCUUGUUGCGUGUCCUACUUUUUUUCUAAAUCACUUUUCUCUAAAUUGACAUACUCCCUAGAAAAUCUAUCCAAAUUUUGAAGAUCAAAUUUGUUCCAUUGAAUUAUUCAUGACAUCUAUCUUGGUAUUGCUUUUUAAUAAUCAGAAUAUAUUUUGAUCUCAACAAAAGUUAUACACGAUUCUUUUUAGACAAUACUAAAGCAAAUUGUAAUCAAGAACACUUGAGGUUCGCACCAAUUGCCACAUUUAGAUAUAAGCAUUCUAAUUUUGGUCAUCCUAUGUGUGUGCAUUCAUCUAAGCAUUCUAGGAUUUCAAUUAGUCUAUAUCUUGUAGUAUUUGUUCCUUCAUUGUCAAUUCACUUCUCAUCUAACUACUAUGAUUGUUUAACCAGUAGAACAUAACUACGACAAUAUCCAUUUAUAAAGACUUUGAUAGCAAACUUUACAUAUUCAUAUCAUGUUAAGGUUGUCACAUGUGUAAAGGUGAAGAGAUCAUGCAUGUCAUUCCACGUAGAUGAAAAAAUUCCUAUAUAAAAAUGACACCUUUUCUUGUAGGUAGUGGAAAGUACCUUUCCAGCAAAGAUCAUAUAUAUAAUCCGAUAAAGCUGAAAACUAAAUGUCGAAAUCGAGUAGAUGCCAUAUCAUCUAUACCUUAUCUCUUGUUUGGAAAAAAGACAAAACCAAAAAAUAUUUAUGAGGUCUCACUUGUAUAAAUAGCUCCCAAAUCAGUAGUUAAUCCAUCACCUAUAAUAUUUUGAGCAUUCAGAAACACACCAAGCGAAGCACAUUAGCAACAACCUAACAACAAUGGCUACCAAGAUAUUAUCCCUCCUUGCGCUUCUUGCGCUUUUUGCGAGCGCAACAAAUGCGUUCAUUAUUCCACAAUGCUCACUUGCUCCAAGUUCCAUUAUUACACAGUUCCUCCCACCAGUUACUUCAAUGGGCUUCGAACACCCAGCUGUGCAAGCCUAUAGGCUACAACAAGCAAUUGCGGCGAGCGUCUUACAACAACCAAUUUCCCAGUUGCAACAACAAUCCUUGGCACAUCUAACAAUACAAACCAUCGCAACGCAACAGCAACAACAAUUCCUACCAGCACUGAGCCACCUAGCCAUGGUGAACCCUGCCGCCUACUUGCAACAGCAGUUGCUUGCAUCAAACCCACUUGCUCUGGCAAACGUAGUUGCAAACCAGCCACAACAACAGCUGCAACAGUUUCUGCCAGCGCUCAGUCAACUAGCCAUGGUGAACCCUGCCGCCUACCUACAACAGCAACAACUGCUUUCAUCUAGCCCGCUCGCUGUGGCCAAUGCACCUACAUACCUGCAACAACAAUUGUUGCAACAGAUUGUACCAGCUCUGACUCAGCUAGUUGUGGCAAACCCUGCUGCCUACUUGCAACAGCUGCUUCCAUUCAACCAACUGACUAUGUCGAACUCUGCUGCGUACCUACAACAGCGACAACAGUUACUUAAUCCACUAGCAGUGGCUAACCCAUUGGUCGCUGCCUUCCUACAGCAGCAACAAUUGCUGCCAUACAACCAGUUCUCUUUGAUAAACCCUGUCUUGUCGAGGCAGCAACCCAUCGUUGGAGGUGCCAUCUUUUAGAUUACAUAUGAGAUGUACUCGAUAAUGGUGCCCUCAUUCCGGCAUGUGUUUCCUAGAAAUAAUCAAUAUAUUGAUUGAGAUUUAUCUCAAUAUAUUUCUGAACUAUGUUCAUCAUAUAAAUAAUUGAAAACAUCAAAUCGUAAUUAUAAACUCAUGCUUGGUCAAUACAUAGACAAUGCGAUAUUACUUCAACAUCCCAAUGAUGUCCUAGCCCAACCUCUUGAAUGUUACUGUUUUAAUGUGUGAGGGUAUAUUUAUAAGAUAGACGUGACUACUCGCGCUUUUUUUAGUACAUACAUAUAUGGUAUGUUGAUUUGAUUAGUGAUGGACACAUGCUUUGACCAUGAAUAUUCAAAUGAGGUGUAUUUGCACGAAGCAAAACAUAAUAUAAGUUUAGGAGUAGACUUAUAACUGUGUCCAAACAUGCUCACACAAAUUCAUACCACAUUAUAAUUUUUUGGUAAAUAUUCCACACGUAUUUUUUACAAGAACCCAAAUUUUGCAGAUAAAUGCAGCAUUGUAGACAUGUAUAAUUCUUUGAAGCCCCUGAACUUAACAGCACCAAGGUCAUUAAAUCAACUGGACCCUAUGAGUAACAAUUUCAAUAUUGCAAACACCAAAUUAUAGAACUUAUUGGCUGAAAAAUUAUGAGCAAUGUGAAGUUUAAAUUAUUAUACCAUAAAUAUAUCAAAGAAUUUUUUUUGAGGAACGUAAAAAUUGCAUGGAAUGGGCUGCCCAACGUGCUAGCUCACUUCUAUGCUAGGUAUCAUUACCAAAGAUGGGAAUGUUGCUAAUGAACGCCAAACCCACUCAUAUAAUAUUUAUAUUUGGGUUGUUUAGUUGUAAAAGUGAAGACCCAAGAUAAAAGUACCAAUUGUUCAAUGACAUUCGAUUAUUUUGUUCGGGGAGCACUUGGUGCGUCAUUUGGACUCAUAUCUUAGUCCAAUAGAUUGCAUUUUCCUUCAAUGUGUAGAAUCCGACAAAGUGCAUGUUCUAAAAUUGUAAAUCUAACUAAAUUAGAAAGCUUGUUACUAAUUUGAUGGUUUAUUAGGUGUACCUCAUAAAACUAGAACCAACAUAGCCUGCACUCACGUGUCAUAGAAAAUAGGAGUAUCCAAGCACAAUUUAUGUGAGCAUCCAUCACACAAAUUAUAUAUAGACUGAUAUAAUUAAUUCCUUCAAAAAUAAAAAAGGAAAAAAUAAAGUGUUUUUUUGAUAUUGCAGGAUAUCUCCUUUAACUAAUGAGGAGUACUAAAAAGAUGUUGCACUUUUGGGUGGCGAGAAUUCCUCAAUCAUAACUUUGACAUAAUUUUAAUCCGGAUCACAUAUAUCAUCAUAUCUUAAUUAUUAAAUUAAUAUGUGUCGGAGAGGGAAUUCUCCGGCCGGGUGGCGGAAUGCACCCGCCCUAAAUCCUAAGAUGAGGAAGGGGCUUAAGUGUUUUGCCUGUCUUGCUAAGCGAUCACCGAGCACACGAACACGCGAGGAUUUAGAGUGGUUCGGGCCGCCAGAGCGUAAUACCCUACUCCACUGUGUGUUGGAUUGCUGUGGAAGCUUGAGAGCUGAGAGUCUGAGUCCUUUGUCUGUGUUGCGUGCCCUCCCUUUUAUAGCUCAAGGGGGGCAUGUACAAGGACACUGAACCCCGACAUGUGGGCCUAGGGACAUAACAGAUGGAAUACUCGGAGCAACUAAUAUCAGUCACCUUGUGCAAUCAUCCUGUGCCCCGAUAUCCGCCGCUAGAGUAGCAUUGGCGUGCAGCAGAAGGUUCCCCGGCAUCGUACAAGUCAUGAUGGCCAUCGCACGCGCGCUGCGGUAUGGGCGUACUGCCCACUGUCUGAUUGGACAGGCACGUCGCCUGUAGAGUGGUCUGGUCGUCGCCUGUCAUCAGAGUGGACGGGGCACAUUAAAUGCCGAGACGGCACAUCGCCUGUCAGCAGGGCGGACAGGCGGCGCGUCCUCUCCGCAAUAAAUGUAGAGAUCACGUGGCUCAAAGGCCUUACGUCAGGCUCCACCCGCCGGCUUACGUCACGAGCAAUAGGCCGCGUGGCAGCAUUAGGUCCUCGCCUGAGCGGGGAGCGGAAGUACACCAGGCAAGACCCUGACAAGUGUCUACGCCGGACCCCUGUACGUCCUUGACUUAGGCCAGGGUAUUCUUCAUCCCGGGAUCUUGCUGUGGGUGGCUUGGACCUCACUUAGAGGGGUCCAGGUCCCAUCCAAGGGAACAUGGAGGUCCUGGGUCGUACCCGGAGGUCCGAGUCAUGUAUGCUGGGGUCCGACACUUUCCCAUGGGGGUCCGGAUUCACUGACGAUAUCACGGUAUGUGUUACCUUCUCUGGUCACUUGGCGGCCCCGGAGUCGCCCACGUGGUGGGGUCGGGCGUUGUUUACCGUGCGUCUAGAGAUAGACGUGCGGGUACCGCGCCUUCAUACUAUAGUAAGGGGUACUCCUGUUCCAGGGUAUCGACAAUAUGGUUCCAUCAUCGUAUUAUUAAUUCAAUCUAAUAUAACCAUCAGAUCUUAAUUAUUAAAUUAAUCUGGAGUGUACAUUAGAUUAUCAAACCAAAUCAACCCGACAUAACCAUCAAAUGUUCCGCUAUGCACCUUAAGCGCAUGGUCUAGGGAUUAAUCAUCCGGAAUAACCAUCCGAUCUUCUAGUAAGCAUAGUAAGUGUAUGGUUCACGACUUCAUCAUCCAGAAUAACCAUCAGAUUUUCCGGUGUGCACUGAAAGCAAAUGAUCCGCGGUUUUGGUAGGUGAAACGUUGUUAGGUGAAUGCGGAUGUUGGCUGUUGUUGCACGUGCGAACUGUUGUGUGGAAGCUGCUGGGUCCUCCUCUAUUGUGCGUGGCUUGUGGCGGGCUUGGACUACUCUCAUGGCUUCGGCGCUUGGAACUGCUCGUCUGUCCGGUCCUGCGUGCAUCUCUCUCUCCUGGCUGGAGGUGUGGUGGCCUGGCGGCUUCUCUGUGUUUUUCUUUUUAUGAUGACUUCUCGUGUUGGCUAGGGUUGGCGUUAGGGGCUCGGUCAGUUAUGCUCCCUCAGCUUUUAUAGGCAGCGCACCAUAGCAGGCAGAGCAGAGAUAAAGAUUCCAAUUGCAUCCAUCUACAAACAAGGCUCUCGGCGGAAGGGAUAAAAGCAUGCAUCGCAAUUACUGCUGCUCUGCUGCAACCUUGGCUCUCGUCAAUUGGAUGACCAAAAGAUGCCAACGUCUAAGAUCUUUUCUUUGUGCAGCUGCCUGUUUGUCACCAACACAAAAUUGUAGGUGCCUGUUUGUCACCAAUUAUCCUCUACCACAAAGAACUACAAUAGUGAUGGAGGAUCCGAUCCAGCACAGAUCCACUAUAAUGCAUAGUGGGUGAUGCAUGCCUAAUGGUGGUUGUUUAGUGUUAGUUUGGGCAUGUUGGAACUAAGCAAUUGUCGAUGCCAUACACUAGAAGUGAAGAAUGUUGUUAGCGUUAGGAGUAGAGGUGUCAAUGGGGACCGAUACCCGUUAAGCCAUGGAGAAUUUCUCUAUUAGAUUUAGGGUAUGGGAAGAUUUUAAUUUCCAUUUGCUGAAGUUAGGUAUACAUCUAUUUGAAUCAACAGUUACAGUUCAACAGAAACUCCUUCCGCUAUAGUUUGUUGCAUGUCCUACCUUUUUCCUAAACUAUUUUCCCUAAAUUGACAUACUCUCUAGAAAAUCUAUCCAAAUUUUGAAGAUCAAAUCUGUUCCAUUGAACUAUUCAUGACAUAUAUCUUGGUAUUGCUUUUUGUCAUCAGAAUAUAUUUUGAACUCAGUAAAAGUUAUACACGAUUUUUUUAGACAAUACUAAAGCAAGUUGUAAUCAAGAACACUUGAGGUGUGCGCCAAUUGCCACAUUUAGAUAUAAUCAUUAUAAUUUUGGUCAUCCUAUAUGUGUGCAUUCAUCUAUGCAUUCUAGGAUUUCAAUUAGUCUCAAUCUUGUAGUAUUUGUUCCUUCAUUGUCAAAUCACUUCUCAUCUAACUACUAUGCUUUUUUAACCAUCAGAACGUAACUCCAACAGUAUCCAUUUAUAAAGGUUUUGAUAGCAAACUUUACAUAUUCAUAUCAUGUUAAGGUUGUCACAUGUGUAAAGGUGAAGAGAUCAUGCAUGUCAUUCCACGUAGAUGAAAAGAAUUCCUAUAUAAAAUGACACCUUUUCUUGUAGGUAGUGGAAAGUAUCUUUCCAGCAAAGACCAUAUAAUCCAAUAAAGUUGAUAACUAAAUGUCGAAAUAGAGUAGAUGCCAUAUCAUUUAUACCUUAUCUGUUGUUUGGAAAAAAAGACUAAAUCCAAAAUAUAUAUGACAUCUCACUUGUAUAAAUAGCUCCCAAAUCAGCAGUUAACCAUCACCCAUAAUAUUUUGAACAUUUAGAAACACACACCUAGCGAAGCGCACUAGCAACGACCUAACAACAAUGGCUACCAAGAUAUUAGCCCUUCUUGCGCUUCUUGCCCUUUUUGUGAGCGCAACAAAUGCGUUCAUUAUUUCACAAUGCUCACUUGCUCCUAGUGCCAUUAUUCCACAAUUCCUCCCACCAGUUACUUCAAUGGGCUUCGAACACCCAGCUGUGCAUGCCUACAGGCUACAACAAGCGCUUGCGGCGAGCGUCUUACAACAACCAAUUGCCCAAUUACAGCAACAAUCCUUGGCACAUCUAACAAUACAAACCAUCGCAACGCAACAGCAACAACAGUUCCUACCAGCACUGAGCCACCUAGCCAUGGUGAACCCUGCCGCCUACUUGCAACAGCAACUGCUUGCAUCCAACCCACUUGCUCUGGCAAACGUAGUUGCACACCAGCAACAACAACAGCUGCAACAGUUUCUGCCAGCGCUCAGUCAACUAGCCAUGGUGAACCCUGCCGCCUACCUACAACAGCAACAACUGCUUUCAUCUACCCCGCUCGUUCUGGCCAAUGCACCUACAUACCUGCAACAACAAUUGUUGCAAUAGAAUCUACCAGCUCUGACUCAGCUAGCUAUGGCAAACCCUGCUGCCUACUUGCAACAGCUGCUUCCAUUCAACCAACUGAUUGUGUCGAACUCUGUUGCGUACCUACAACAACGACAAUAGUUACUUAAUCCACUAGCAGUGGCUACCCCAUUGGUCGCUGCCUUCCUACAGCAGCAACAAUUGCUGCCAUACAACCAGUUCUCUUUGAUGAACCCUGUCUUGUCGAGGCAGCAACCCAUCGUUGGAGGUGCCAUCUUUUAGAUUACAUAUGAGAUGUACUUGAUAAUGGCGCCCUCAUACCGGCAUGUGUUUCCUAGAAAUAAUCAAUAUAUUCAUUGAGAUUUAUCUCGA
rnacentral:lncRNA from 1 species